GAUGAACGCUGGCGGCGUGCCUAAUACAUGCAAGUCGAGCGAACAGACGCGGAGCUUGCUCCUCUGACGUUAGCGGCGGACGGGUGAGUAACACGUGGAUAACCUACCUAUAAGACUGGGAUAACUUCGGGAACCCGGAGCUACUACCGGCUAAUAUCUUGAACCGCAUGGUUCAAUAGUGAAAGACGGUUUUGCUGUCAAUUAUAUAUGGAUCCGCGCCGCAUUAGCUAGUUGGUAAGGUAACGGCUUACCAAGGCGACGAUGCGUAGCCGACCUGAGAGGAUGAUCAGCCACACUGGAACUGAGACACGGUCCAGACUCCUACGGGAGGCAGCAGUAGGGAAUCUUGGGCAAUGGGCGAAAGCCUGAUGGAGCAACGCCGCGUGAGUGAAGAAGGUCUUCGGGUCGUAAAACUCUGUUAGUAGGGAAGAGAAAAUGAGGAAGUAUAUAUACUAGUCUAGACGGUACCUGAACAGAAAGCCACGGCUAACUACGUG
rnacentral:rRNA from 1 species